CCUAGCUAGUUCCACCAAUACCAAUGCCAGCAUAUAUUUUCUGAACCGUUAUGUUGUGCAGCCGGACAAGAUCGCUGCUGUAGAGACGCUGGACAGGAAUUGUAUUCAUCUACUCACUUCACUUGAGGUCAGAGACGGAGUUGCGCACUUUCAUUCCCGCAUUGGCUGGGAUUGAGGUUGGAGUUGGCUAGGCUUUGCAAAGGUUUAAGACCAGUAGGCUGCAAUAUGGCGUGGAUGCCGCGAAUCUUUGGGACAAAUUUGACAUCAACACUAGGUCCUUCUGCACCUUAUUCCUCUAGAUUCUUCUCCAAAUCAGCUCCGUACAUCAUGGCAGACCUAUGGAUACGAUAAAGUCUUGUUUUGACGCUUGCUACUGCAGCAAAGGUUGGAAUCCCCGAGUUUGUAAAUGGAAUAGGGAAUGGAGUUGAAUCCCAUGUUGCUAAGCUUGAAACAGAAAUUGGUGACUUCCAGAAGCUUCUCGUCUGUCGUACCCUCAAGCUCAAGAAGCUGGGCUUUCCUUGCAAACAUAGGAAGUUAAUAUUGAAAUAUGCACACAAGUACAGGCUGGGAUUAUGGAGGCCUCGAGCUGAACUAAUCAAAUCGUGAUCGGUUUCUUAAUAACUUUUCUUUAUCACACCUGAAGUUCUAGAUGCGCCAAUAUGUGAAUGCUGGAUUUCGCAUGGAAAGAACAAGUCUAUUGCUUCUGA